UACGUAGGGUGCGAGCGUUAAUCGGAAUUACUGGGCGUAAAGCGUGCGUAGGCGGUUCUCCAAGUCCGUUGGGAAAGCCCCGGGCUCAACCUGGGAAUGGCAGUGGAAACUAGGGGACUGGAAUCUGGCAGAGGGGGGUGGAAUGCCGCGUGUAGCAGUGAAAUGCGUAGAGAUGCGGCGGAACACCGAUGGCGAAGGCAGCCCCCUGGGCUGAGAUUGACGCUCAGGCACGAAAGCGUGGGGAGCAAACAGG
rnacentral:rRNA from 1 species